rnacentral:lncRNA from 1 species
AGUCCUCUCACUGCUCAGGAACCCUAGUGCAGAGUCCACUUAGCCAACAGGAAGACAACACAUAAACACUGAGUGGCCCAGUGACCUCGCCCAGUGACCUCUCACACAGACACCUGAUGUGUGGUCUCUUCUCUGUGUCUCUGUCCAGCCCACCCACCACUCAACAGGGAGAUCUCCAGAGAUGGUGACUGCAGUCCCCCCAGAACCACCAUCAGCUGCACGUUCUCCAGGGGCUAGUAGAGCAUUAGAGGAAAAGCUGUCCUUGCACUUUUUAUGCAGCACAGUAAGGAAGGCUUGAUUUAAUGGGGAGACUGUGGAGCCGGAUAUGGGGUCCAGGCAGUGAAGACAGAUCUCAGCUGGGAUCCACUCCAUUCAUUUCCUCCUGUGGAAGCCCCCAGCCACAUGGGCUCCCUGGCCUUCUCUCAGCAGGGUCUCCCUCCCCAGUCCCAUUCCUGGAGCUCCCACCCCUCCAGGGCCCAUCUCCUGGGUUGAGACUCUCCAUCUGCCUUCUCUCCCACAAGACGACAGCAUCCUUGAGGGCAGAGGCUGCAGCCAUUCCAAGAUUCACGCAGAGCCAGGAACAUGGAGGUGCACAAGAUUCAUUGAUGAAGUAGAGAAAGAAAGAGGAAGGAUGGAUGGAAGGGAACAUUUCCCAUUUUUACCAUAAGGAGGAGGGUUGAUUUUAUUUCAUCAUUGCUCAGUUUGUUGUGUUUUAUUUUAGUGUUAUUUUGCUUAUGGCUCUUCUGGCUCAUCUCUUUUCCUUUUCUCUGCAGUCACUGCCAGACUCUCUCAGAGUCUGUUGACCCAGCCAAUCCGUCUCUACAAUAAUGGCAGCCAUUUAUUAAGCUCUGUGCAAGCAAAUUAUAUAGGCUAUUUUCUUGUAAACAGCAACUCAGCGCUUGAAGAUAGGUGUUCUCCCUAUAUGAAAGACUGGUAAGUCCAGCUGGUGAGGAGUGUGACUGAGAUUUGGCCCUGAUUUAUCUGGAACCACAGCCUUUGCUCACUACCAUACUCAGAUUGCCUCUCCUUCACCACACUGCCCAGGGGGGUCAGGCACACACCCA